rnacentral:lncRNA from 1 species
UCAAGUACUGUGCUCAAAAUGUCCAUCGGCUGCAUCCUUCUCGCCCCAGUUCAUCACCGACCACCACGCGAUUUACAUCCACUGCGAUCAUGGAUGACUCCGUGAGACAAUGUCGCCGUCCUAUUCUUCCAGAUACAAUGGGUCGGGUAAUACAGUAUUUUUUGAUAUGCUAAUCACGCUUCCGUUUCACUAAAUUUCCAGAACAAUACUACAUACUUUCUACUAAUAGUGUUCUGUCAACUGCAAAAAUCAGAAUUAUCGCAACAUUUUCAUGAUCUAUAUUCCAGCUUUUAGUAUAUGGUUUGUUUUGAGCACCGGAUAAGUGGUCAAGGGUCGUAUAUAAGAAUACUUGUUAUGCAGGUCAGUCUACAAUCUUCUCUGCCAUCAUUAUGUGCUUGCUGACUUGCCUUGCUCACAUUACUGCCGCAACAGUGAGCGGUCCUUGCAUGUCUUGUGUAUUCUUUUUUUUUUGCGACAAGUCUUGUGUAUUCAUUGAAAGCAUAUAAAAUAUGGAGUUGCAGCAUGGCUGCUAGCUGCUACUUUAAUGUUAUCACAAAAAGGCCAAAGCUCUUAUUUUCUAGAUAUGUCGAGUUCAAAUAUUAAGGAUAUUUUAAGAACAGAAUUUUCAGCAUCAUAUAUCUAUAGCAAUUAUGUUUCGAAAUGGAAUUGUUGGCUCCUAAUAAUAGUUUACUGAAUUCUCCCAAGUCGCAGUUAGGUUCUUCAAACUCUAUGACCUUAGAUGUAUUGUGACCUGAUGAUCUUCAUAUUUUUCUUGAUAUACCAGAAGCUGCAAUCACUGCUGAUGUACUUCCAUAUAGCAAUUGGGGAGAGGUAAAGAACACUUCAGUUGCCAUACUUUCUUAUUUCCCAUUUACCUGCUAUUUGACCUGUGAUGGUUUAAGAAUCUUUAACCUUCAGGAUUUCCAGGUAGGGAUGCAAGCGGGCAUCCCGCAGAAGCAGUAAAUUUGUUCAAAUUGAACUAAAUCUGAAUGGGAGGAUUAGAACUGACUUGAUCUACUGAAAGAACAUGCGGUGCCCCCAUGUUUAGUUUUGGUAAUUGAUGACAAUCUCUAUGGAUUAAUGGUUGCCUUGAGUUAUAUUUGAAGGAUUUGUCCAUAGGCAUUUCUUGAAGUCCAUGUGUUGGUUUCAAGGAAUUUAUGUGGUGACCAAGGUGUUAUUAAGGAAUUAUCCAAAGAUUGGUCAUGUGAGAGUUGAGCUUAUUGCAAUCAUGUCUUGAAGAAGAAGAUUGUGUGAUCAUUCAUGUUUACCUUCAAGACAUCAUCCAAAUGAAGAGAGUUGGAAAAAGUCAAGGUUGAUCAAGACUAAGUCAAGAGUGAAUCAACUUGAUCAACACACAAAGCGCACAAGAUGUACCGAGGGAUCAAGCGAUCCCAUGGUAUGGUAAGCAUUGUCAAUUACACUUUAUGUACUAACCAUGGUCUUCGUGAGAGUUCUUUGUGGGGUUAGGUUGCGGUGUGCAAGUCCAAGUGAAGCGGGCAAGUUCAAGUAAAGCAUCACGAAGAGAUCAAAUGCUUGAAGCUUGCCAUCCAUUGUGGUGACAAUGGACUUGUGAAGAUGUGCGGAAGGGUGGCUCACCAUAGUGGAGUAUGGGGGAGCAAUCAACUAGUCUUCAUCGAGCCAACGCAAUCAAGAAAGGUGGUCCAUCUUGAGGGAGUCAAGAUCGUCAUCAUCUAGCUCAAGUGGACCAUGUGCAAGACAAAGGUUUGCUUUUGAUAGGUUUUCUAUUUUACCGGUCUCAUGGUGGUAGUUGGGAGACCGGGUUAUAGGAUCGAUUGCCGUACUAUCAAGGGGGGCUCUCGAUGAGUAGCUUGAUCGUGUCGUUCAUAGAGAGCUUAAACCAUUGCAU